rnacentral:rRNA from 1 species
CCUACGGGAGGCAGCAGUAGGGAAUAUUGGUCAAUGGGGGCAACCCUGAAGCAGCAACGCCGCGUGGAGGAUGAAGGCUUUCGGAUUGUAAACUCCUUUUGUUAGAGAAGAUAAUGACGGUAUCUAACGAAUAAGCACCGGUUAACGCCGUGACAGCAGCCGCGGUAAUACGGAAGGUGCACGCGUUACUCGGGAUCACUGGGGGUAAAGGGGGCGUAGGCGGGAUAGCAAGUCAGAUGUGAAAUCCUAUGGCUUAACCAUCGAACUGCAUUUGAAACUGGUAUUCCUGAGUGUGAGAGAGGUAGGUGGAAUUCUUGGUGUAGGGGUGAAAUCCGUAGAGAUCACGAGGAAUACUCAUUGCGAAGGCGACCUGCUAGAUCAUAACUGACGCUGAUGCGCGAAAGCGUGGGGAGCAAACAGGAUUAGAUACCCCUGUAGUC